UCUCCUCCUUUGAACGGGAGAUUUCUUCCUGGUACUCUGAUACCGUUUUUUCCACGACCACAAAUAUCUCAACAGCCGCCGCUGUUAAUCGCUCGCCCAACAGGUGGCGGUAUACCAAUAGCGACAAUGAACAAAGAGCGGGCCGUGGUUGGAACGAUAUCGGAGUACGAGUAAGACAUCUCCCGUUCAAAGAAAGAUCGAACGUCUCCAAAGGCUAAUGUUACAUGUCAUCACACAGCCUGAUAGUGAUAUAAAGCAGAUCCCCAGCUAGUAACUCACUGUCCCAGAAGCAGGAGUUCCCCCUGAGCAGCAGCACUGUGACCAGGAGUGGAUCCCAGGUCUGUGGUAGGAUGACCCAGAGCCCACACAGAUUAAAGAGGAACAGGAGUAGUUUGGGAUUGGUCAUGAAGAGCAGAUUCAGAGGCUGGAGUCUGAUACCAAAGAUUCAUAUUAACUUCUCCCUUUGUGAUAAGUGAUUGGGAUCAGGACCCAGCCCAGCCUUCACGUAUUCACCAAACCCAAACUGUGGAGAAUGACUUUCUACCCACUAAAACAACAGAAGAGAUCCAAACAGAACCCAGGGAGGGCUGUGGAUUAUCCGAACCAAACAGUCAAUUACAGCCCCUCUCUCCAGUAAAUGCAGACUGUUCUCCAGCUCAGAAUGAAAACAGUGAACAUGUCGAUAGUAGUACAUCAACUCUGAGAAAGCAGUCUGACAAAAGAUCUCUGGGGAGAAACCGUUUAACUGCCAUGUGUGCAGUAAAUGUUUCCUUACAGAGGAAUACUGUCAAAGACAUACAAAUACAUACAGGAGAUAAAUAUUUUCAUUACCAUGGUUGUGGCACGUGCUUUACCAGGAAGGGACACUUGGCAGAGCAUUUAAGAUAGUUACACCCAGAAGAGAAGCCAUUCCACUCCCAAGUUUGUAUCAAACAUCCUCAUCUUUUGAAGGAUCAAAUGAAAUUACACACAGGGGAUACAUAUACAUUCCCCUCCAUAUGUAUUUGGACAGUAAAGCUAGCAUUUUAAAAUUGGCUCCCACAUUUGGGAUUUGAGAUCAAAGGUUUUAUAUGAGGCUACGGUACGUAAUGUCACCUUUUAUUUGAGGGUAUUUUCAUACAGAUUGGUUUUACCGUUUAGAAUUAAAAGCAUUAUUAUGUAUCUAGUGCCCCCAUUUGAAGAAGUCAUAAGUAUUUGGACAAAUUCACUUGGUGUUUGAAGUAGUAAAAUGUUCUGGUGCAUAUUCCGAGCACACAAACAUGUUUGUUGGAUGCAUUUCUUGGGUUGUUUUGCCCAAUAGGAAGUGAAUGGUUAAUUAUAACUGGAGUAAUUUUCUAAGUAGAUAAAAUGUUUCUGCACACUUCUAAAAUAAUCCUGAAUGAAUCAUGAAGAGGCUACAACAAAACAUGCUAACCUCUCACCAUUACCAUCUUCUCUUCCUACAACAAAACAUGCUAAC